rnacentral:rRNA from 1 species
AACGAACGCUGGCGGCAGGCUUAACACAUGCAAGUCGAACGCAUCCUUCGGGGUGAGUGGCAGACGGGUGAGUAACGCGUGGGAACGUGCCCUUCAGUUCGGGAUAACCCAGGGAAACUUGGGCUAAUAUUGGAUACGUGCGAGAGCAGCAAGAUUUAUCGCUGAAGGAUCGGCCCGCGUCUGAUUAGCUAGUUGGUGCGGUAAUGGCCCACCAAGGCGACGAUCAGUAGCUGGUCUGAGAGAAUGAUCAGCCAAAUUGGGACUGAGACACGGCCCAGACGCCUACGGGAGGCAGCAGUAGGAAAUACUGAACAAUGGGCGCAGUCCUUAUCCAGCCAUGCCGCGUGAGUGAUGAAGGCCUUAGGGUUGUAAAGCUCUGUCGUCCGGGACGAUAAUGACGGUACCGGAAGAAUAAGCCCCGGCUAACUUCGUGCCAGCCGCCGCGGUAA